UAAAAGCGAUCUCAGUUCGGACUGCAGGCUGCAACUCGCCUGCACGAAGUUGGAAUUGCUAGUAAUCGUGGAUCAGCAUGCCACGGUGAAUACGUUCCCGGGUCUUGUACACACCGCCCGUCACACCAUGGGAGCCGGUAAUACCCGAAGUCAGUAGUCUAACCGCAAGGAGGACGCUGCCGAAGGUAGGAUUGGCGACUGGGGUGAAGUCGUAACAAGGUAUC
rnacentral:rRNA from 1 species